rnacentral:rRNA from 1 species
GAUGAACGCUGGCGGCGUGCCUAAUACAUGCAAGUCGAGCGAACAGACGAGGAGCUUGCUCCUCUGACGUUAGCGGCGGACGGGUGAGUAACACGUGGAUAACCUACCUAUAAGACUGGGAUAACUUCGGGAAACCGGAGCUAAUACCGGAUAAUAUAUUGAACCGCAUGGUUCAAUAGUGAAAGACGGUUUUGCUGUCACUUAUAGAUGGAUCCGCGCCGCAUUAGCUAGUUGGUAAGGUAACGGCUUACCAAGGCGACGAUGCGUAGCCGACCUGAGAGGGUGAUCGGCCACACUGGAACUGAGACACGGUCCAGACUCCUACGGGAGGCAGCAGUAGGGAAUCUUCCGCAAUGGGCGAAAGCCUGACGGAGCAACGCAGCGUGAGUGAUGAAGGUCUUCGGAUCGUAAAACUCUGUUAUUAGGGAAGAACAAAUGUGUAAGUAACUAUGCACGUCUUGACGGUACCUAAUCAGAAAGCCACGGCGAACUACGU